rnacentral:rRNA from 1 species
UACAGAGGUCUCAAGCGUUGUUCGGAUUCAUUGGGCGUAAAGGGUGCGUAGGUGGCGCUGUAAGUCAGGUGUGAAAUUUCGGAGCUUAACUCCGAAACUGCAUUUGAUACUGCGGUGCUUGAGGACUGGAGAGGAGACUGGAAUUUACGGUGUAGCAGUGAAAUGCGUAGAUAUCGUAAGGAAGACCAGUGGCGAAGGCGGGUCUCUGGACAGUUCCUGACACUGAGGCACGAAGGCUAGGGGAGCAAACGGG